AGAAAAGGCCUUUCAGGCAUCCUCUCCUAAAACUUUCAGGCCGGUCCUUCUGGGAUCGGCCUUUUUUUUGGUGAUG
rnacentral:sRNA from 2 species